rnacentral:ncRNA from 1 species
AAGAGGGGUGCCCGUGCAGGACCGUCCGGUCGGGCUGAGAUCAUACCCUAUGAACUUGAUGCGGGUCAUGCCGCCGAAAGGACUUGUUC